GACGAACGCUGGCGGCGUGCUUAACACAUGCAAGUCGAACGGAAAGGCCCUGCUUUUGUGGGGUGCUCGAGUGGCGAACGGGUGAGUAACACGUGAGUAACCUGCCCUUGACUUUGGGAUAACUUCAGGAAACUGGGGCUAAUACCGGAUAGGAGCUCCUGCUGCAUGGUGGGGGUUGGAAAGUUUCGGCGGUUGGGGAUGGACUCGCGGCUUAUCAGCUUGUUGGUGGGGUAGUGGCUUACCAAGGCUUUGACGGGUAGCCGGCCUGAGAGGGUGACCGGCCACAUUGGGACUGAGAUACGGCCCAGACUCCUACGGGAGGCAGCAGUGGGGAAUAUUGCACAAUGGGCGGAAGCCUGAUGCAGCAACGCCGCGUGCGGGAUGACGGCCUUCGGGUUGUAAACCGCUUUCGCCUGUGACGAGGCGUGAGUGACGGUAAUGGGUAAGGAAGCACCGGCUAACUACGUG
rnacentral:rRNA from 1 species